rnacentral:rRNA from 1 species
UACGGGAGGCAGCAGUAGGGAAUCUUCCGCAAUGGGCGAAAGCCUGACGGAGCAACGCCGCGUGAGUGAUGAAGGUCUUCGGAUCGUAAAGCUCUGUUGUUGGUGAAGAAGGAUAGAGGUAGUAACUGGCCUUUAUUUGACGGUAAUCAACCAGAAAGUCACGGCUAACUACGUGCCAGCAGCCGCGGUAAU